AACGAACGCUGGCGGCAUGCCUAACACAUGCAAGUCGAACGAAGCCUUCGGGCUUAGUGGCGCACGGGUGCGUAACACGUGGGAAUCUGCCCUUUGGUUCGGAAUAACAGUUGGAAACGACUGCUAAUACCGGAUGAUGACGAAAGUCCAAAGAUUUAUCGCCAGAGGAUGAGCCCGCGUAGGAUUAGCUAGUUGGUGUGGUAAAGGCGCACCAAGGCGACGAGCCUUAGCUGGUCUGAGGGGAUGAUCAGCCACACUGGGACUGAGACACGGCCCAGACUCCUACGGGGGGCAGCAGUGGGGAAUAUUGGACAAUGGGCGAAAGCCUGAUCCAGCAAUGCCGCGUGAGUGAUGAAGGCCCUAGGGUUGUAAAGCUCUUUUACCCGGGAUGAUAAUGACAGUACCGGGAGAAUAAGCCCCGGCUAACUCCGUGCCAGCCGCCGCUGUAAAAC
rnacentral:rRNA from 1 species